rnacentral:rRNA from 1 species
UGAUGUUAGCGGCGGACGGGUGAGUAACACGUGGGUAACCUGCCUGUAAGACUGGGAUAACUCCGGGAAACCGGGGCUAAUACCGGAUGGUUGUUUGAACCGCAUGGUUCAAACAUAAAAGGUGGCUUCGGCUACCACUUACAGAUGGACCCGCGGCGCAUUAGCUAGUUGGUGAGGUAACGGCUCACCAAGGCAACGAUGCGUAGCCGACCUGAGAGGGUGAUCGGCCACACUGGGACUGAGACACGGCCCAGACUCCUACGGGAGGCAGCAGUAGGGAAUCUUCCGCAAUGGACGAAAGUCUGACGGAGCAACGCCGCGUGAGUGAUGAAGGUUUUCGGAUCGUAAAGCUCUGUUGUUAGGGAAGAACAAGUACCGUUCGAAUAGGGCGGUACCUUGACGGUACCUAACCAGAAAGCCACGGCUAACUACGUGCCAGCAGCCGCGGUAAUACGUAGGUGGCAAGCGUUGUCCGGAAUUAUUGGGCGUAAAGGGCUCGCAGGCGGUUUCUUAAGUCUGAUGUGAAAGCCCCCGGCUCAACCGGGGAGGGUCAUUGGAAACUGGGGAACUUGAGUGCAGAAGAGGAGAGUGGAAUUCCACGUGUAGCGGUGAAAUGCGUAGAGAUGUGGAGGAACACCAGUGGCG